GUCAGAUUGGCCGAGUGGUCUAAGGCGCCAGACUCAAGGAUUAUAAUCUAUAAAGAGUGAUCUGGUCCACAAAUGUGGGCGUGGGUUCGAACCCCACAUCUGACA